rnacentral:lncRNA from 1 species
AAUUUUUAAAAAGAUUUAUUUAUUUUAUGUAUGUGAAUACAUUGUAGCUGUACAGAUGGUUGUGAGCCUUCAUGUCGUUGUUGGGAGUUGAAUUUUCUUAGGACCUCCACUCUCUCAGUCCCUGCUUGCUCUGGCCCAAAGAUUUAUUUAUUAUAAGUAUACUGUAGCUGACUUCAGACCCACCAGAAGAGGGCAUCGGGUCUCAUUACGGGUAGUUUUGAGCCACCAUGUGGUUGGUGGGAUUUGAACUCAGGGUCUUUGGAAGAGCAGUCAGUGUUCUUCUGAGACAUCUCGCCAGCCCCAGUCAGGCUCUCUAAAAUGGAGUCUGAACUUAAAAGGUUUGGCCUCUCAGGGAGAGGAGGAUCCAUUUAUUUUUUCCUUUGACAAAAAGCUCAGAACAAGCUAUUUGACGUGGGUACAGCUGGAGAUACUCAAGGGGCUGAAGGGAAGUACUCGCAUCUGGUCCUAAGUGGCUCUGCUUCCUCUGAGCUGAGUGUAGCCUCUAAGGCUUGGGACCCGGAGCACGUGUCUCCUCUUUGCUGACAGGCCAAUAUGAGGCGCCUUCACACUGACGUUCUAUUUUGUUUCUUUGACCAGAGCCUCGGAGGAAAGAGACAGCAACACUGACGAAUGAGCCCAGUCUUCUGCAGGCGUUUUCUCAUCUGGGGGUCCCUCCUCUCAGAUGACUCUAGCUUGUGUGAAGUUGACACAAAUCUAGCCAGCGGACUGCAUGAAACUCGGAGACUGGUCUUGGUGAGGAAACCAAAGGAGCUGACUCAGAAAGUCAACGGGAACCAAGAUACCCUGCGCAGCAGAGAAUUCAAAGUAUAUCAGGCUCAUGCUGGAAGAAGGCUCGGCAGUUAAGAGCAUAUACUGAGUCCAGAGGACCUGAGUCCACUUGCCAGCAAUCACACCAGGUGUCUAUAACUCUAGGUCCAGGCCAGAGCUCUGCAGCACCUACAACCAUGUGCGCACACACUUACAUAUAACUAAGACUAAUAAAAAUGAACGUUUUUAAAAAAUGUCAUGCGUCAGAACCAUCAGUUCAGAACCUGUGUGCUUUAUUUAGAGUUUUUCCGGUCAGCUCGGCAUGAGCUGGAGUCAUCUGAGAAGAGGGAACUUCAGUUGAGAAACCACCUCCAUCAGAUGGGCCUGCUGGCA